GCAGCAGUGAGGAAUAUUGGUCAAUGGGCGAGAGCCUGAACCAGCCAAGUAGCGUGAAGGAUGACUGCCCUAUGGGUUGUAAACUUCUUUUAUAAAGGAAUAAAGUCGGGUAUGGAUACCCGUUUGCAUGUACUUUAUGAAUAAGGAUCGGCUAACUCCGUGCCAGCAGCCGCGGUAAUACGGAGGAUCCGAGCGUUAUCCGGAUUUAUUGGGUUUAAAGGGAGCGUAGAUGGAUGUUUAAGUCAGUUGUGAAAGUUUGCGGCUCAACCGUAAAAUUGCAGUUGAUACUGGAUAUCUUGAGUGCAGUUGAGGCAGGCGGAAUUCGUGGUGUAGCGGUGAAAUGCUUAGAUAUCACGAAGAACUCCGAUUGCGAAGGCAGCCUGCUAAGCUGCAACUGACAUUGAGGCUCGAAAGUGUGGGUAUCAAACAGGAUUAGAUACCCUGGUAGUCCACACGGUAAACGAUGAAUACUCGCUGUUUGCGAUAUACUGCAA
rnacentral:rRNA from 1 species